GGCCAGACAGCUCCGACCUGUGGCCACAGAGGCUCAAGGCACCGGCGCCCAGGCCGAGCGGGCGCCCCAAGUCCCCGUUCUGGAGAGAAUAGAUUCGUCUCCAAAAUACGGCGCGCUCCCUCCCAGCAGCGCGCGCUCCGGGGGCUCCGGGGGGCUCCGGGGGGCUCCGGGGCGACCGCGCGCCUCAGCUCGGGGCCGGGACCCCCGCCGCGGAGGGUGGCGCGGGGCGCGACCAGCCCGGGAGCCGAGGCGCGCCGGCCGCGGGGCGCGGGGAGGGGGCGCUCAUUCCACGCCCGCGGCCGGGCCCCGCACGCCGGGCUUUGUCUCGGCCCCCGCGCCCUCGGCCCCGGGCAGCGGCCGCGCAGCUCCCCGCGGGGUGCAGGGCGCGGCGGGGCGCGGCGGGGCGGGGCGGGGCGCGGCUCAGCGGGCGGACGGCGGGCACCCGGCACCGCGCAGCGCCAGCCGAGCCAUCGCGGGGCGCGGGGCGCGGGGCUCGGCGGGGCUCGGCGGGGCCGGGCCGGGGUCACCGGGCGGCGGGCUCCGGCUGCGCGGUCGCGGCCCCCAGGGGCUGCGGCAUCCGGGCCGGGCGAAGGAUGCUCCGCGGCGCUCCGCUGGCGCUCCCCGCUGCCCGGCCCGGGCGGGACGAAGGACCGGCGGCCGGAGGGCUCGGGGCUCGCGCAGCCACGGCCCGCGGAGGGAGCUGCAGCGAGCGGCGGGGCCUCGGCGAGCGCGCGCCGAGCUAGUCCCGGGAGAGCAGCCCCCGAGCGCCGGGCCCACGCGCAGGUCGCGGCUCCGCUGCUCCGCGAGGCUCGGUCGCCGCCGCCCCCGCCGCCCCCGGGCCCAGCUGCCGCCGAGCGCGCGCGUCCCCUGCCCGCCCGCCGGCCGCCCGCCGCCCACCGGCCCCGACUCCGGCCCGCGCCGCGCAUGCGCCCCGUCCCCCCCUUAAAGGGCCAGCGCGUUCCCGCCGGGCCCUCCGCCUCCCGCGCCGGACCCGCGCCCCAAGUUAGCUCUCGGAGGCGGACGGCGCUGGUCCUCUCCGCUCUCACCUCUCUCGGGGCGCGGCGGCGCCGCGGAGGACGUGUACGAUGUGCCGCACGGAGCGCGAAGUGCGCGGAGGCCCGCGGCCGGGAAUUUCCUAAAGGAAGCACCUCGCGGGGGCCCUCAGAGGGUCGGAGCGAGAGCCCGGCCAGGAGGACCCGGCCCUAG
rnacentral:lncRNA from 1 species